rnacentral:rRNA from 1 species
GACGAACGCUGGCGGCGUGCUUAACACAUGCAAGUCGAACGGAAAGGCCCUGCUUUUGUGGGGUGCUCGAGUGGCGAACGGGUGAGUAACACGUGAGUAACCUGCCCUUGACUUUGGGAUAACUUCAGGAAACUGGGGCUAAUACCGGAUAGGAGCUCCUGCUGCAUGGUGGGGGUUGGAAAGUUUCGGCGGUUGGGGAUGGACUCGCGGCUUAUCAGCUUGUUGGUGGGGUAGUGGCUUACCAAGGCUUUGACGGGUAGCCGGCCUGAGAGGGUGACCGGCGACAGGGGGGGAGUAGUGCGGCCCAGAGUGGGGGGGGAGAGGGAGGGGGGGAAUAUGGGAGCAGGGGCGGGAGGCGGGGGGCGAGGCGCGGGUGGGGGGGGGCGGGCCUCGGGUUUGUGACACGCGUGCGCCGGGUAGGAGGCGGGGGGGAGGGUAAGGGGCAAAGGGGCACCGAACAACGGCGUGACAGCGGGGGCGGGAAGAACAGGAGGGGAACGCGGGUGAAC